ACAUAAUUCGACGGUGUUUUCAAACAACACCAAAAGCAUCACACCACUCUAAAACGACACUUCAUCCAGCGCACAUAGGCAAACGGCAACGGCAUUUUUGACCACAUUUCUAUAAGACUUUGUACUAUUUUGAACACGAAAAAAGUUAGUUUUUUUGAAUUGCAUUUCUUUGUAUUCAAUCGAGCCGAUAGAAACAUUUUGAAAACCACGUGAGAUUUUUAUGAAAGAAUUUUGUGCGUGAUUUCUUGGCGAACAACAAAUUUCAAUUUAUUCUGAAUAACAAGUCACAGCGAAAAUGGAAAAACUUGCAAAAUCACCAGAAGCCGUUCGUAUGUUUGUUGACCAGAUUUUGAAACUUUAUGACGAUGAAAAGGCCGGGCAAAAUUUGAUUGCACUGCUCGACAAAUUUCAAGCGAACAACAAUGAAUUGCUCAGAGCAAUUCCGAAUUUUGAAGUUGCAUACACGAUUGGCGAGGUCCAAUCCAAAGCCGAACAACUAUUGAAUAUCGAGGCAAAUUUGCGGUUGAUGUUAGAAGAAAUGGCUGAAGAAAGGAAGGAUUGAAAGUGAAAAAGAUACGAGAGAUUUUGCAAAUGUUAAUUUUAAUUAAAUGAAUAGAAAAUGAAGAGAAAGGAAGUGCAUCGAUUAAUAUACGAUUAGAAUACCUAUUUAUCAUAAAUUGUAACUGCAGAACAUCAGACGAAAUUACUUCAUUUUGAAAUAAAAAAAAAUUAAAUUUAACCGGAUA